GUGCUUGCUUUGGCAGCACAUACACUAAAAUUGGAACAAUACAGAAAAGAUUAGUAUGGCCCCUGUGAUUAUCAUCCUGUGCAAGAAUGACAUGUAAAUUCAUGAAGUAGUCUAUAUUUUU
ensembl:snRNA U6 U6 spliceosomal RNA